CCUAUUACCUCUUUAUCGUAUCUCAUAUAAUUUUUAAUCAUGAAUUAAAUUCGAAAAUUACAUAGAAAAACUUAGUUAAUUCUACCAAAUUUGACUAGGAAUUAUAUUUGUCUUGCUUAAUCAAUAAUAUUACAUUCCAACUUGAAAAAACAUUUGCUAUUCAACUCAAUAUAAUGGUGAAGAAACGUAAAAAUGCUCUUAGGUCAUCUGCUCAAGUUGUUGACUCGCCAAUGAAGGAACCUAGAAUUAUAAGAGGUAACCAAUUAGAAAAAGCUCGUAAUAGUUUAAAUGAUGCUUUAGAUAUAAUUGCUAAAAAAGAACAAAAAAAGACUGAAAUUGUACCAGAAAAUCUUACACCUGUAGAUGGAAAUGAAAAUAACAAAAAAUCAAAAAAAAAUGAGACUAAACAAGAAGUCAAAGAUUCAUUAGUAUUAAAAUUACGUGAUCGUAGUAUUGAUUUAGCUUCAUUUACUGAAAAUACAUCUAUGUACACUAUUUGUCGAGCAUGGAUAAAAAAUGACCCUCUAUCUGCAAGACAAUCUAAAAAUAAGAAAACUGAUGUUUCUGAACGUUCAUUUAAAAGUGACAACGAUUCAACAGUUGUUGAAGACUAUGUGUAUAAAUUACCUACUCCAAAAAUUAAACUAGAAAUUGGAAUUGAUGAAGAAUGUUUUAUGCCUUUAGACUUGCCAAAAGACACUUUAACAACUUUAGAUGUAAAAAUUAAUCCUGAUGAAAUUGCUACUGUGAAGGAACUAUUAAAUGAACAUCGUAAACGAUGGCUUUAUGUAAGGCAAAAGUGGAUCUCUUUUAGCAACAAAAAUGAAUCCCGUUAUGUGAUGUCAAAAAAUAUAUUGACAGCUAUGUUAAACAAGUGAGUUGUGAUUGUCACAGGCGCACAUAAGACUGUAUAAACCUAGAAUGUUGUAUUAAAAUAAAAUACAAAAAAAAUUGUGUAAAAACGGGUGAUUUAAAAGUCUUCACUUGAUUACAAGUUAAUACAACUCGAGAUAACAGUAUGUGACUAAUGGGUAUAAGCUUAAUGAAUAUUAGUUUUGGAAUAAGUUAAUAAAUAUUAGUUUUUAAUUUUUGAAAAAAUCUUCAUUUUAUAUUUUAAACUAAGUAAUUUAUAAACUUAAUUUUUUAACAUAAAAUUAUACUUAAGUGUACAAAUAAAUUAAUGUUUU